GGCCAGGUAGCUCAGUUGGUAGAGCACUUGAUUGAAAAUCAAGGAGUCGGCGGUUCAAGUCCGCCCCUGGCCA
rnacentral:tRNA from 1 species